rnacentral:rRNA from 1 species
GACGAACGCUGGCGGCGUGCUUAACACAUGCAAGUCGAACGGUAAGGCUCCUUCGGGAGUACACGAGUGGCGAACGGGUGAGUAACACGUGAGCAACCUGCCCUUGACUUUGGGAUACCAGCUGGAAACAGCUGCUAAUACCGGAUACGACCCCUUGACGCAUGUUUUGGGGUGGAAAGCUCCGGCGGUCAGGGAUGGGCUCGCGGCCUAUCAGCUUGUUGGUGAGGUAAUGGCUCACCAAGGCUUCGACGGGUAGCCGGCCUGAGAGGGCGACCGGCCACACUGGGACUGAGAUACGGCCCAGACUCCUACGGGAGGCAGCAGUGGGGAAUAUUGCACAAUGGGCGCAAGCCUGAUGCAGCAACGCCGCGUGCGGGAUGACGGCCUUCGGGUUGUAAACCGCUUUCAGUAGGGACGAAGCUAACGUGACGGUACCUACAGAAGAAGGACCGGCUAACUACGUGCCAGCCGCCGCCGUAACAC